UUGUUCUAUACGUACAAUUGCUUAUAUAAAUAGCACCCAUUUUGAAGGCACAUAUAUAAACAUAUAUCUAUCUCGUUCUUACUCAGCACUUUAACUCGCAGGAAAACAAUAUAACAAACAGUAUUUCAGUGCGUACAUAAAAUGAAACAUGAAUAUACGUAAAUAUCUCCGUCUCCGUCUAAUGAGGCCGAAAAUCCGCCAUGUUUAGCGCGCCAAAUGUCAUUGUCACGUCAGUUCGGCCGUCUGUUUUGGGUUGUACAUUAUUUAUUGACUUUGAUAUCGAUUUAAUAUGAUUGAUUAUAUAAAAUUUCAUAAUUUAUCAUGCUUAAAACAUACAAAAAUAAUAAUUAAAACGUAUUUUAUAGGAUCUCAAGAAAGUCGAUGCCCUAAAACUAUUAUCUAUAUGUAUUUAAAUUCAUUAUGGAGCCCUCAUCCGAAAAAUCCAUUUUUCGGUCGAAAUCUAUUGAUCAUGACACUAAUCAUAAAUACCACUUUAAAAUAUGUCAUCAAAACAUAUUUAGACAUUCUGUUUAGAUAUUUCGGGAAAAAGGCUACCGACAAAAUCUCUUCGGAACUAUUUAAAUAAAAUAGUUUUAUUCCGCAGUGAGUAAAACACUAUUGUAAAUUUGUUAAAUAUUUAAUAAUUAAGUGAUUUUAGAGAGGAAGUCACAAGGAAUGACGUUUGUAAUUAAUGAAUAAAUGUUCUGUAGGUGUUUUUUUUUUCACGCGGUCCCUUGAUCAGUUUAAAAUUUGAAUCACUCUCAAGCGAAAGUGAUUCAAAUGGUGCGGCGCACCUUCCUUGGGGUGCGCUGCGGUAGUAUGUUACGGACUUUAGAGUCAGGAAAACAAUUAAAAUAGAUUGUAAUAGUCUAAGAAAAACACGUACUCAAAAUACGAUAACAUUUAGCAUGCUAGAAAUGGGCUGAUGGCUUUGAACUACGCCAUAUCUUUAUGUUUUGCGACAAACGACAACUUUAUAAAAUCAGUGUAGCAACUUUUAAAAAUCAUCAUAUCGUUUACUUGGCAAAUUCGAAGGACGAACUUUCACCCAUCUAAAUCAUAUCAUAUUUGCACAUAACAAUAUACCUACUUACUUCCCAUUAAAGUAUAAAUUCUACAAAUAAAUAAUACUCAACAAUAUUUAAAAUAAAAUGAGCCAAGAACGUUUAUCGAUAAAACCUGAUAACAUUGAAAUCUUUUGUACAGCACUAAAGCCGCCAUGUUUUGUGGCCUGAUGACGUCACACUGGCACGAAAUUUUGGUUGACGUUUCAUUUCCAUAGGUUUCCUACUUCAUUGGUCUAAACGGUGCCGUGCAUACCUAAAUGUUUUAAUGUUGAAUUAAUCUUUUGGAAGUUGUUAGAUCUCCAAACAAUGUCAUCUGAAGAAAUUAUAUCUUCCACUUCAGAGCAAGAAGCAGCAACUAAAUUGCGUGAAUCAUUUUUAAGAUCAAUAAGAGAACUAAGUGGACUUAAGUGUACAAUUCUGACAUAUGAAAAAAGUUCUUUAAAAGCCAAAUUCAGCAGUUGGAAACCUGAUGGUUCGGAGAUAUUAGUACACGGCUUGGAAACACCAGCAUGUGUUGUGAUGGACUCAGCUUUAUUAAGGACACCUGAUCUUUUAGCGAUACAAUUUGAAAACCACUUGGAUUUACCAUGACAUUAUCUUAACCUUAAUUAUUGUAAUUUAUGUACUCAUAUAUUAUUCAGCUAGAUCUUACAUAGUAAUUCUUCAUUAAUAAAUCGUGGGCUAACCUUACAGACAGCACAACAUUCUUCUGAUGCAAAAAAAAUCAGACCUUUUUAUAGCAUUCACAUCCUGACAUUAAACACAUUCACACGCCGCUGAUAACAUUUGUAUAUUAGGCGGAACCUGAGAUUUCGUUUUUCUAGGCAAAACAUCGCUGAGAUGGUUGUAAAUCAUUUUACAUAUAAACAUAGGAAGUUUAAUAAGUGAAAAUAAAAUAAUUUGACAAAAGUA